UGGUGGUGCCACUAUGCCCUCUGCUGGUGGACAUUUUCUACUACACUGUCCAGUUCCUGGUUGAUGGGAUAACACGCUUUCGGCGAGUCUUGGCUCAGCAAGGAACAUCAACUUUUCAAAGCAUGGAAAUAGUAGGUUCUUAGUUUGCCAAAAGGACAAUAAUAAGUGACAAUAACGUUGAAACUAGAGUGCGUCGGCUGCAGCUCCUGCCCGAGGCAUGACUCUGUAGACUCUCCUGCAGGUUUGCUCUUAGUAGGCUUGCUAGGCUAGCUAAGUGGCUAGCUAGCUAGCUUCAUUGCAGUUCAAAAUGACUGACUCCUGCGCUGCAGAGAACUGUGAUUACCAGCGAGGAGAUUCAACUGACUCCACUGCACUGUUCAGCUUUCCUUUGGACCCGGAACGAUGCAAACAAUGGUUGGAAAACUGUCAUCGACAGGAUUUGGUGGCAGAACCUCCUGAACGGUUGCAUGAAGAGUACAGACUUUGUGCAAAGCACUUUGAGCCCUCUGUGAUCUCUCAGCAGAGCGACUCCAGUUGUGUUUUAAGGGAGGAUGCUGUUCCAACAAUGUUUGACUUUACAGCGCCUGUGAAUAAUCAGCCAGCCUACAACAGGAAACGAGCCCAUGAUCAUUCGGAAGAGGGAGCUUCUUCUGUGAAGAAAACAAAAGAAAACAGAGAAACAACAAGGGUGGCAUUGGAGACAAGGGACUCUGGAGAGAACAGUGCAACGCCUAUACAGCAGAAUGAAAACCAAACCCCAGAGGAUGUAGCCGGCUCCAAAGCAAAAGAGACUCUGAAAGUAUAUUUCAAGGAAAUCCUGGCAUUGACUGGAUUCAGCAUCAAUGGUGAAAACAUCAACGCUGAUGAGCCAAUCGGAAGUGCCAGAGGUCAGCAGACUCUCAAUCGAAUCUGUGUGGAGAAAGUUGACAAGAAAGAAAUCCUUCAGUACGGUGAAGACUUCAUGCGUGAGGCGAUCAAGAACAGCCUCAGACUGGCUCGAUUCUUCUCCAUUCUGCUUCAGGAUGUGACGAGCAUAGAGGGAAAGGAGCAGAUUCCGGUUUUUGUCAGGUCUGUCACAGUGGAUGGGUUCCCACAGAAACAUCUCAUUGGGUUCUUGCCAUGCGAAAUGGAUGCAGAAAAUCUGUUUUACAUGCUGCUAGCAGAGCUGAGAAACAAGUGGGGGCUGAGGAUGGAGCACUGCAGGGGACUGACGUAUGUGGUUACAGGAAGCAUGUGUCAGAAGAUGCGAGACCUCACUUGCAGGAUUCUGCAAGAGUUUCCACAAGUGGUCCUGUCACCGAGUGACCCAUAUGCCUUCAACAUAUGGAUUAUCCGCUGCAUGCCAGUGCCCUCUAUUCAGAAGGUUGCAGACACUGUAGAGGAAGUGGCCUCGUUACUCAGGAGAACACCAGAGCUGUACAAAAGGUUGGAGGGAAAUAUCCAGAUGACAUACGGGCACAUUAAAGGGGAAGCAGACAGAGUAAAGGCAGCUCUUGGUGAGAACUGGGAAUAUGGGACUGAUGCUUUUCAGACUAUGUUAGAUAUCCUGGAGCCAUUCCUGAAUUGCAUCAAUGAGAUGAUUUCAAAGGUAGAUGAGGAUACUGCUGAACAGAUGGCCAAGCUCAAGCCAAUAUUGAAGAAUUUCAAUUUCAUCAUCACCCUUGUUGUUCUGAAGAACACCCUCUGUUGUGUGAGCAUCCUCAACUCAAGUCUCAGGGGAAUAAUCAGCAUCAGCAGUACCUUGCAGUACACAAUCUCCAAUGCCUUAAAGCUGGUAAGCAAAUACCAACAGGAGCUUGCAAUACUCAACAGGAAGUGGUUUUCUGACGCAGUGGGGAGAGCAAAGAAGCUGGGAGUGGAGGUCACCAAACCAGAGAUUGACCAGGGAGACACAGCUGAAACACCACUGGAGGACCUAUACAGAGAAACUCUGGGCCGGCCAAUCCUUCAGUAUCUAGUCUCAGAGGUAAAGAGAGUGUUUAGCACAGAGAUGGUGAGGAUUCUCAGAUGGCUUUCACUUGUGCCAUCAUACAUGGCUGACCACAAUUUCAGCAUUCGCAGGGAUAAAGUGGCAGAUGCCAAUCUAAACAACCUUGCAAGGCCUGACACGUUCUACGAAGAGCUUGGUUGUUGGGAAGUGAAGUGGAGGCACGCAAGCAAGCGAAGAAUCCUACCAACUACGGUUUUUGCUACGCUCAAGAUCCCAGACAUCGGUUUUUACCCAAAUGUGCAGAGCUUGCUGAGGGUGUUGGGCACUGUACCAUGUGUAAAUGCAGAGGCAGAUGUGUAUGGCCAAUACCAUAUGGUGCUGGAAAGGUGCCAUGCUUACCUGACAGCCACACCAGCGGACCAAAGACAGUGCAGAAUGGCAUAUGUCUACGUGAACCAAGAUGUGCACUUUAAUGUUGAACACAUGGUUGAGUCAUAUGUCGAGAAACAUCCAGAAUCCUGCAGUUGCUGCACAUGGAUGACGACACAAAGGAGAAGCCUUCCCAAGUGACAUCUCAUGGGAACCAUGCUGAAAAAGACACUGAGGAAGAAUUACAAAUCAUAAACCUGGAGAUGGACGCUGAAAGGCUUGUGGAGAUGAAAUGCGCUGAGACUGACAGAGAUGCUCUUAAAUCUGCUUUGCAGGCUGCAGUUGUGGCUGCAUACAACAGUCAAAGCAGACAUCGUACAGACACCUCUGCUCAGGAUGGAGAAGUCGAGUAUGUGACCAAGUCUGAAAUGAAGGAAGUUCUCACUGUGUGUGAAAAUGCUGUCAGGGAGGGAAUCCUGACAGAAGUAGGGAAUUCGUUCUUUUCCUUGUUCAUCGACCGUGUGGUGAGGUUUGGGGAGAAAGAUUAUCUGCCACUUUUUCUCAAGUUUGUGGACAGUUUUGAUGUCAUGCGACUAGAGUUGAUGGGAUUCCUUGAGGCAGAUCUUGAUUGCGAUUCCAUGGUCCAGCGUCUCCACGAAAUAGUCACUGUCGAGUGGCGUCUGGAUCUGAAUAAUUGUAGAGGUCAAGCAUACCUGGGCUCAGGUGAUGUAUCCUACAAGCUGAAAGCCUUUGCUUGCAAAGUCCAGGAGAAGCAUCCUCUUGCCAUAAGCACACACUGCUCUUCAUACUCUUUUAACACAUGGUGGUCAAAAUCCAUCCCGGUGCCUGCUGUUAAAAGAGCCUUGGAUAUAUUUGAAGAUGUUCUAAUGUUUUUUGGCAGCAGUGUCACUCUACAGAAACAACUAGACCAUGUAAUAGACUUUGGCCUGAGAGAGAGCUAUGAAAAGGUACAAGAAUUACAGGGGACGUUCUGCUCCCUUUGGCAAGAGAAGCAUGAUUCUUAUGAGGUGUUUGUGCAGAUGCUUGAGCCACUAGUCGAAUGUUUGGAGAAAAUCAAAAACAACCCACAGAGAUGGAAGGCCUUUGUGUCCGAACAAGCCGGGGCACUCCUCCGCAAGGUGAUGGAGUUUGAUUUCAUCAUUGCAAUGGUGAUACUCAAGAAUGCAUCCUCUUUCACCAGAGAGCUGAGUGCAGGUCUUCAGAAGGACCACCUCAGUGCUGCAUCCCAACUUUGCCAAAUCAGCGGCAUCGUGGCCACUCUGAACAGAGUAAAAACCAACAUGAAAGUGUUUCACCAGAACUGGUUUGAUGAGGCCUGUGCAAUUGCACAGAGUCUAAGAGUGCAGAUUGAAGUGCCUGAAAACGCAAUGCCAAGAGACGGCAUGAUCAAGCCAGUUGGUUUUACAAAGAUGCAUUAAGUGUGCCCCUUGUGGAUAACCUCAUCAGUGCAGUGAAGGAUCAUUUUUCAGAGGACCACAAAGAAGCGCUAAACUUCCUCUCCCUUGUUCCUUGCUCAGUCACAGUGAGUUACAUGUUUGAGAGUUUGAAGACAAAGCCACCCCUCUACAGCAGGGAUCUCCCUGAUGCUGACAAUUUCUUCACUGAGCUGUGCUGCUGGAGAGUAACGUGGAAGACCAAAGUUGCAUCUGUUACCAUCCCAAGCUCUAUCUUCCACACGCUGCGUCUGCCACUCAUGCAGUACUUCGGGAACAUCAAUGUCCUUCUGAGGAUCAUGUCUGUGCUACCCAGCACAGCACUCGAGGAUUGUGGUGUCGUUAUGCGCCACAAGAAGUUUCAAGAGUACCUGAGAACCACGAAUCCCAAAGAUAGGUCCCCGUGCUUAGCUUUGCUUCAGGUGGGGACGGACUUCAACAGAGACCUAGACCACAUGGUGACCCAGUGUUUGAAGGUUACCCCUCAAGCCUUGGAGGGUAUCUGUCUGGAAAAAGAAUCAAAAAGUCUCAACAAGAACUCCGAAAAUAAUAUGGAAGUUGUUUGUGUCAAAGAAGAAUAUGAAGAGCCCAUCACUCAGCAAUCUUCACACAAUACUGAGAUCCAAGACAUGAAACCAGCAGAUGAAAACGGGCAUGUAGGAGACAAUCGUCGAAGCUUGGCAACAGUGUUCAGACAGGCUGCAGUAUUGGGGAAAAAGAAGUGCAGCCUCUUUGACCUCUCAGAUGAGGACAAAGAUCUCUUCAACCAGGAGCUGAGCAUGUGUCACUGGUUUGAAAGGGAGAGCAAAUGCACACCUUCUCUAGGUGAUGAUGAAGUGUUGAACCUCUUCAUAAAUGGAAUCCGAGAUGUCAUCCUCAGAGAAAUUCAAGAAUCCCCAUUCUUCUCGCUCAUCACUGACAAACCAAUCAGAAUGGCUGACAAGACACACCUACCUGUUUUUGUCAGAUAUGUUGGAGAAUCUGCUCCCAAAGUAGAGCUCAUGGGUUUCUUACCAUUCAGUGAAAGCAGUCAUGUUGACACACAAGCAAAACGCCUGGCAAAGAUCCUCACUGAAGACUGGGGCUUACCCAUGUCUCAGUGUCGUGGACAAGCAUUCAUGCACUUAGGCUCUGGUUAUAAAAGCCUGAAGAAAAUGUCCCUGGAUUUCCUCGAGAGCUACCCGCUCUCUGUCGCGACGCCUAGUGAGUCUUGCGGUCUUGCCCACUGGCUGUCAGGAAGUGUGCCUUGCCCUUCAGUAGCAAAAAUGUUGGCUAUCACAGAAGACCUGCUGCUAUUCUUUGAUGAGUCCCCUUGUCUGGAGGGGCAGCUCGCACAGGCUGUCGAUGGGCUUUUGAAUAUGCCGAGAGAGGCCCUGGAGGAAAUACCAGAAACAUGUUGCUCAAGGUGGAAAAAGAGAGAGGACUUCUUUGAUAUACUUGCAGACACAUUAGAGGGCAUCCUCAGCUGCCUGGAUGCUGUCAGCUCUAGUACCAUAGGUGUCAAGUCCAUGCAUGCACAAGUGCUCUCCACUGCUCUGAGAAAUAUGGAUUUCAUUGUCACCCUUGUGAUUUUAAAGAAUGCUUGUUCUCCCCUUCGUAACUGUAGCACUGUCUUCCGCUGUGGAAACCCUGCUGAUAUUCUCUGUGAAGUGGAAAAAAUCCCCUCUAUCAUAGAGACUCUCAACAAAAUGUUAGAAAACGUGAGCACAGUCCACUCCACUUGGUUUGAGCAAGCGUUCCAACUCGCAACCAGGGUUGCUCCUGAACAAGUGUGCUUCUCAGAGGAAGCCAACAGCUAUGAUUCUCCUGAGAUAUACUACAGAGAAACCCUAAGUGUUCCUCUCCUCAAAAGUCUCAUUGAUGAAAUGAAGUACAGCUUCUCAGAUGGCCACUUGAAGGCCCUCUCAGUCCUGUCAUUGCUGCCCUCGUGUAAUCCACAACCCGUUUUGUCAGAGUCCACAGACAAGCCAUUCAGCCUCUACCUUACAGAUGUCCCUGACCCUGAAGCAGCAGAGCAGGAAAUCAACGCCUGGGCUUCUGUUUGGCAAGAGAAAUACCAAGAUGUUGCUCCUCCAUCAUCUAUCUCUGAAACGCUUGUUCAUCCUGAGUCAAAGAGCCACCCCACCGUUUCCUUGCUGCUCAGGCUAGUGGCUGUCCUGCCUAGUGUUAGUAUGGAGUGUGACCUGAUGAAGACCACUUUGAAUUCCUUGAGGGAUCUUUUGAAAAAUACUGUAUGCAAAGGCAGCAGAAUGGAUCAUGUGAUGCUCCUCUCUCACUGCUCAACACUGCAAAGACUGCCAGAGGUCAUUGACCACUGUACGGCCAUUGAUCCAGAAAGCUGUCCAUGCCUUUUCCAGGUGAUGGAAACUUUACAAAGACUCAGGCUGGUCACGGGAGGCAUUGAAGAUGACCCAAUGGCACCAACAGUGUUGCAGGCCUCCAGUUUGGAGGAGAAUCCGGCAGAUGGCCAAGUGAAAUUGGCUGCUAAUGAAGUGAUCCCAGAGGCCGCUCAAGGACUGAGAACAGCCAUGUCUUUCUAUGAGCCACAACUGCGAGAACAAAUCCUGAAGGAACUCUGGGACUCUCAGUUCUUCACAGUAAUAACAGAGCAAGCUGUUGAUAUUGAUGGUGAGCUCUAUGUCCCAUUGUGCAUCAGGUACCUGAACAAAGAGGACAUCCAGUGUGAGGAAACAUUAGCCUUUAUACCUUUUGCUGAAGACCCAGUUGUCCUUGCAGAUGCUAUUGAGACGGCCCUGUCUCAGAAGUGGGGGCUGAAUAUGGAGUUCUGCAGAGGGCAGGCGUUGUUGAGUGUUGGUGAAGUAGGGGCUCAGAUGAGGGCUGUAAGUUUAGCCAUAGCUCAGAAAUACCCCCAGGCUGUGAGAACGUCGAGCUCUGCUUUGUCUCUGAACAUAUGGUUGGCUAAAUCCUCUCCUGCUCAAGAAGCAGCAGACGGCGCAGUUCUCAUAGGUAAAAUAUUACACUGGCUCACAGAGGAUGCUGAACGCCAGAACAAACUGGAAGACAUGAUCAUUCAUGUGUUCCAGCAUGAUGAAGCUAGGGGCAAUGAGCUGAGGGACAAGCUGAUCAAAAACUGGGACAAGAGUCAUGACAUGCACGAGGUGAUGGUCGAGAUCUUAGAAACUGUCAUGUUGUGUUUGGCUGAGCUGAAAGGAGAGGUAAGCACUUCAAACCAGCAGCAAGCUUCACACUUCUUCGAUGCGAUUAGAAACUUUGAGUUUAUCUUCUCAACAGUGGUGCUGAAGAACACCUUGAGUGUGACUAAAAAGCUCAGUCAGUCUCUCCAGGGCAAACCCUUAGAUAUGUUGAUGGCUGUGAAUAAUUUACCUGAUCUCAGAGCAUCCAUUGGUAAACUUCUGAGCGAUAUCGACACCCAUCACAAGGCCUGGUUUGAGGAAGCCGUUGUGCUAGCUUCUAGACUUCAUGUGACGAUGUUGCAUCCAGUGCUUCUAGAGCCAUUGAGUGAGUUUUACAAAGAAUCUAUAUGCACGAAAAUUGUUCAGCACUCUAUAGCAGAAAUCGACGACCUCUUCACAGAAAAGGUAUUGGAUACCUUGAGGUGUCUGGAGAUUGUGCCUUACGCAAUGUCCAAAGUAGAAACCAGCAUCCUUAGUGAUCUCGUGUUCCGCUUGUACAAAGAGGACUUGCCUGAUCAGGCUUCCUUGGACACCGAGUUGAAGUCCUGGAAGGAGAAAUGGUUGGAUCCCCUGGCAGGUUAUCUCCCGACAACUGUGCUCGAUACACUCAAGACUUCACAGAUCAGAAGUUUUGUUAACAUUGAGACUCUCCUCAGACUUCAGGUCAUUUUGCCGUUUUCACGGAGAGAGAGCAACUUCAGGCAGGGGAAGAGAAUCUUACAGGAGUUUAUACAGCAGGAAAAAAGGUCCCUCACUGAGCUACAUCCUCUGUAGGAGCUGCAGGUCUUCCGACAUGGCAUUUAGGUUUGAGAAAUUUAUUUGAGAUGUCAUGGCCUCCAUACCUAAGAGCUAAUGUUUCUCAAUUCUAAUUGAGGUCCCAAGCUCUCACUUAAUCUGUGUGUACAUUAUUGAUCUAAAUUCUUUUGAGAUUUUCUUUUUUUUUUUUUUAUCCUGCAAACCAAGCCCUUUGUUAUAUUUUCAUUUUUGUUCUUAGUUUGUACAGCUGUACUGCCCAAUGGGACCAAUGUCUUGGCAAAAAAAAGCAAUGCUCCACUGACGGUUCUCAAUGCUUGUGUGCCUUGAUGCAAAACCAAUAAUUCACCCCAUGUAUCAUGAUAACACAGAUGUUGACAGAUGUCCCAUUGGCGUUGACUGACUUCUGUUUCACUGUCAUGAAUUUAUUACUAUAAUCAUGAAAUUGCACCCUUACCUUUUUUCCUGGGCACAAAUUGAAAUUGUUAGUUCCAUCAUGUCUCUUGAUGAUUUCCCAUGUUUCCUGUCUCUUUGCAGGAAUGAAUUUGCUGUAAACGUAUCUUUGAAAGAAUGUUUCCUUGAUAGGAAAAACCUUCAUAUAUAUUUGUCAAAAAAUAAAUAAAAUGCUCCAAAAAGA